rnacentral:rRNA from 1 species
UACGUCCUACGGGAGAAAGCAGGGGAUCUUCGGACCUUGCGCUAAUAGAUGAGCCUAAGUCGGAUUAGCUAGUUGGUGGGGUAAAGGCCUACCAAGGCGACGAUCUGUAGCGGGUCUGAGAGGAUGAUCCGCCACACUGGGACUGAAACACGGCCCAGACUCCUACGGGAGGCAGCAGUGGGGAAUAUUGGACAAUGGGCGCAAGCCUGAUCCAGCCAUGCCGCGUGUGUGAAGAAGGCCUUAUGGUUGUAAAGCACUUUAAGCGAGGAGGAGGCUACUUUAGUUAAUACCUAGAGAUAGUGGACGUUACUCGCAAAAUAAGCACCGGCUAACUCUGUGCCAGCAGCCGCGGUAAUACAGAGGGUGCAAGCGUUAAUCGGAUUUACUGGGCGUAAAGCGCGCGUAGGCGGCUAAUUAAGUCAAAUGUGAAAUCCCCGAGCUUAACUUGGGAAUUGCAUUCGAUACUGGUUAGCUAGAGUGUGGGAGAGGAUGGUAGAAUUCCAGGUGUAGCGGUGAAAUGCGUAGAGAUCUGGAGGAAUACCGAUGGCGAAGGCAGCCAUCUGGCCUAACACUGACGCUGAGGUGCGAAAGCAUGGGGGAGCAAACAGGA